rnacentral:misc_RNA from 1 species
UCUCCGUAGGUGAACCUGCGGAGGGAUCAUUACAGAGUUCUCGCCCUCACGGGUAGAUCUCCCACCCACUGUUAUCGUUACUGUCGUUUCUUUGGCGGGCCCCGGGUCCCCGGCCGCCGGCGCCUAGCUGCCGGCGCGCGCCCGCCAGAGGCCUUCAAACUCUGAAUGUUAGUGUCGUCUGAGUACUAUAUAAUAGUUAAAACUUUCAACAACGGAUCUCUUGGUUCUG